GACGAACGCUGGCGGCGUGCUUAACACAUGCCAGUCGAACGGAAAGGCCCUGCUUUUGUGGGGUGCUCGAGUGGCGAACGGGUGAGUAACACGUGAGUAACCUGCCCUUGACUUUGGGAUAACUUCAGGAAACUGGGGCUAAUACCGGAUAGGAGCUCCUGCUGCAUGGUGGGGGUUGGAAAGUUUCGGCGGUUGGGGAUGGACUCGCGGCUUAUCAGCUUGUUGGUGGGGUAGUGGCUUACCAAGGCUUUGACGGGUAGCCGGCCUGAGAGGGUGACCGGCCACAUUGGGACUGGGAUGCGGCCCAGACUCCUACGGGAGGCAGCAGUGGGGAAUAUUGCACAAUGGGCGGAAGCCUGAUGCAGCAACGCCGCGUGCGGGAUGACGGCCUUCGGGUUGUAAACCGCUUUCGCCUGUGACGAAGCGUGAGUGACGGUAAUGGGUAAAGAAGCACCGGCUAACUACGUG
rnacentral:rRNA from 1 species